rnacentral:rRNA from 1 species
UACGUAGGGGGCAAGCGUUAUCCGGAUUUACUGGGUGUAAAGGGAGCGCAGACGGCAGUGCAAGUCUGAAGUGAAAGCUCGCAGCUCAACUGCGGAACUGCUUUGGAAACUGUGCAGCUGGAGUAUCGGAGGGGUAAGCGGAAUUCCUAGUGUAGCGGUGAAAUGCGUAGAUAUUAGGAGGAACACCGGUGGCGAAGGCGGCUUACUGGACGAUAACUGACGUUGAGGCUCGAAAGCGUGGGGAGCAAAC